GCAUUAAUGGGGUAGUGGUAACCUGGGUCGUUGCCAUUCGUUAUACAUGUGAAGGUGUUGUCGACCCGCCGGGGGUUCAAUUCCCUCUUAAUGCA
rnacentral:tRNA from 1 species